UGCGCAGGCGGUGCUGUAAGACAGGCGUGAAAUCCCCGGGCUCAACCUGGGAAUUGCGCUUGUGACUGCAGUGCUGGAGUGCGGCAGAGGGGGAUGGAAUUCCGCGUGUAGCAGUGAAAUGCGUAGAUAUGCGGAGGAGCACCGAUGGCGAAGGCAAUCCCCUGGGCCUGCACUGACGCUCAUGCACGAAGCGGUGGGAGACAAACA
rnacentral:rRNA from 1 species